rnacentral:misc_RNA from 1 species
GGGAUUGACUUAGGAGAAGCCCCAUCUGUACCAAUAAGCGCUGCCAGAUCUCCGUCCUCAGCUGCCUCUUCCUGAACUACCACAUUGCUGAAAUCCAUGCCGGGAGGAAUAACCACCAUCCUCGGCAUAAAUCGUCCAUGACAGUUGACACCUCGCCUCGCACGGGCUCUUAACACCCUCUCGAGCUUGACAUCAAAGCCGUCGUACAAUCCCCACUGCUCCUCAAUCUCUUGCUUUGUGCUUGUGAUUACUAGCUCAGCCGCAUCCAAGGACAGCUCUUCAGCUUCUAUACGUCGCAUUAUUUUAUAU